rnacentral:rRNA from 1 species
CAGUAGCCGCGGGAAUACGAAGGGUGCAAGCGUUAAUCGGAAUUACUGGGCGUAAAGCGCGCGUAGUUGGUUUGGUAAGAUGGAUGUGAAAUCCCCGGGCUCAACCUGGGAACUGCAUCCAUAACUGCCUGACUAGAGUACGGUAGAGGGUGGUGGAAUUUCCUGUGUAGCGGUGAAAUGCGUAGAUAUAGGAAGGAACACCAGUGGCGAAGGCGACCACCUGGACUGAUACUGACACUGAGGUGCGAAAGCGUGGGGAGCAAACAGGAUUAGAGACCCCGGUAGUCCCUGUCUCUUAUAA